GGGCACUCAUCCGGCACAAAACGCCGUUGGAUCUGCAGCUCCGCGUCGGCGCCCAGGCCCGCCACGGGCGCCGCCUGCCCGGUCACCCAGAGCAGCAGCAGGAGCAGCGGCGGCGGGGACCGCCAGCCCCGGGCCCUGAACGCCAUCGGCGGCGGCGGGGAGAGGAGCCGGGGCGGGAUUUUUCUUUUAAUAUUUAGAGAACGAGGGAGGCGUGUAUUGCGAGGCUCCGCUGACCGUUGUUCAGCGAAAAGUUUUUAAGUUGCUGAGUGAUCCUCAAGCCAUCUGUGGGUGCCCUGUGAGCUGAUACUUAGGAGCAAGCAUGCCACGUGGUCUCAGCCGCGUGACUGAGCUCAGAAAGACCCAGAUGCCGCAGGAAACUCAUUAGUUUCAGUGCAUUCUUAGUUUAGAAUUGGUUAUUCUUACUUAUUAAAACGUUGGAUAAAUGAAAGCAAAUCAC